AAGUUUAAGUAAGGGAUUGGAAUCUUACAGGCAAACAACUUGCUGCGCAGAGUUGAAGCUAUGGGGCUGAUCAGAGUGCUAGCAAACCUUCUGAUACUACAGCUUUCUUACG